CAGAGUUUUAUUUUGAGCAAAAGCUUGGAUUCUUGCAGAAGAGUUGACUUCAAAAAAAAACAGCAAACAAAAGCAAGCGUUCUGAAGUUUCCCUGCUUUCUGGAGAGAGAACGACGUGCCUUUUUGCAGGCAUUUCUCUGAAUCAGUUUUAUUGACACGGAUGUUUUCAGGCAUAGAACUCUGGUAGCAACGUCAGAACAUAUUUAUUCUAUGUCCUGAGAUGAGAUGAUGAAAGGGAGGAGGGAUACGUAACAACUACUGGGAAAAUGAUUCAAGAAACAAAACAGAAGUGGCCAGCACGACUGUUUCUAGUUGCUGUAGAGCAUCUCCUCCUUUCCUGCUUUCAGCCACAGCCUUCCUGUCCCACCCCUCCCGAGCUCACUGUGGAGGUGCCAGAAUCGUAGAAUAGAAUCAUAGAAUCA
rnacentral:lncRNA from 1 species